AGGACGAACGCUGGCGGCGUGCUUAACACAUGCAAGUCGAGCGGAAAGGCCCUUCGGGGUACUCGAGCGGCGAACGGGUGAGUAACACGUGAGUAAUCUGCCCCUAGCUCUGGGAUAGCUCCGGGAAACCGGGAUUAAUACCGGAUACGACCACUUUAGACAUCUGUUGUGGUGGAAAGAAUUUUGGCUAGGGAUGAGCUCGCGGCCUAUCAGCUUGUUGGUGGGGUAACGGCCUACCAAGGCGACGACGGGUAGCCGGCCUGAGAGGGCGACCGGCCACACUGGGACUGAGACACGGCCCAGACUCCUACGGGAGGCAGCAGUGGGAAUAUUGCGCAAUGGGCGAAAGCCUGACGCAGCGACGCCGCGUGGGGGAUGAAGGCCUUCGGGUUGUAAACCCUUUCAGCAGGGACGAAGCGAAAGUGACGGUACCUGCAGAAGAAGCGCCGGCUAACUACGUGCCAGCAGCCGC
rnacentral:rRNA from 1 species